AUUGAACGCUGGCGGCAGGCCUAACACAUGCAAGUCGAGCGGAUGAAGGGAGCUUGCUCCUGGAUUCAGCGGCGGACGGGUGAGUAAUGCCUAGGAAUCUGCCUGGUAGUGGGGGAUAACGUCCGGAAACGGGCGCUAAUACCGCAUACGUCCUGAGGGAGAAAGUGGGGGAUCUUCGGACCUCACGCUAUCAGAUGAGCCUAGGUCGGAUUAGCUAGUUGGUGGGGUAAAGGCCUACCAAGGCGACGAUCCGUAACUGGUCUGAGAGGAUGAUCAGUCACACUGGAACUGAGACACGGUCCAGACUCCAACGGGAGGCAGCAGUGGGGAAUAUUGGACAAUGGGCGAAAGCCUGAUCCAGCCAUGCCGCGUAUGUGAAGAAGGUCUUCGGAUUGUAAAGCACUUUAAGUUGGGAGGAAGGGCAGUAAGUUAAUACCUUGCUGUUUUGACGUUACCAACAGAAUAAGCACCGGCUAACUUCGUG
rnacentral:rRNA from 1 species